rnacentral:tRNA from 1 species
GCCCGACUAACUCAGUCGGUAGAGCAUGAGACUCUUAAUCUCAGGGUUGUGGGUUUGAGACCCACAUUGGGCA